rnacentral:tRNA from 3 species
GGCGAUGUAGUCAAGUGGUAAGACGGGGGACUGCAAAUCCUUAAUUCCCCAGUUCGAAUCUGGGUGUCGCCU